GACGAACGCUGGCGGCGCGCUUAACACAUGCAAGUCGAACGGAAAGGCCGGCUUUCCCUUGUGGAGUGCGGGUACCCGAGUGGCGAACGGGUGAGUAACACGUGAGUGAUCUGCCCCCAACUUGGGUAUAAGCCUGGGAAACUGGGUCUAAUGCCCGAUAGGACUGCAGGGUGGUGCCGGUGGUGGAAAACGAUGUUCUAGUGGUAGGGGAUGAGCGCGCGGCCUAUCAGCUUGUCGGUGGGGUAAUGGCCUACCAAGGCGGCGACGGGAAGCCGGCCUGAGAGGGCGGACCGGCUCUUUGGGACUGAGCUACGGCCCUGACUCCUACGCGCGGCACCCGCGGGGACUGUUGGCAGCUGGGCGGAAGACUGAUGCAGCGACGCCGCGUGGAGGAUGCCGGCCUUCGGGUGGUAUGCUCCUUUCGGGCGCGAAGAAGCCACCUGGUUGGAAGGGUGGUGACGGUACUGGUAGAAGAAGCACCGGCUAACUACGUG
rnacentral:rRNA from 1 species